ACGCUGGCGGCAGGCCUAACACAUGCAAGUCGAGCGGAAACGACACUAUCGAUCCUUCGGAUGCGUUAAUGGGCGUCGAGCGGCGGACGGGUGAGUAAUGCCUAGGAAAUUGCCUUGAUGUGGGGGAUAACCAUUGGAAACGAUGGCUAAUACCGCAUAAUGCCUACGGGCCAAAGAGGGGGAUCUUCGGACCUCUCGCGUCAAGAUAUGCCUAGGUGGGAUUAGCUAGUUGGUGAGGUAAUGGCUCACCAAGGCGACGAUCCCUAGCUGGUCUGAGAGGAUGAUCAGCCACACUGGAACUGAGACACGGUCCAGACUCCUACGGGAGGCAGCAGUGGGGAAUAUUGCACAAUGGGCGAAAGCCUGAUGCAGCCAUGCCGCGUGUAUGAAGAAGGCCUUCGGGUUGUAAAGUACUUUCAGUUGUGAGGAAGGGUGUGUAGUUAAUAGCUGYRCAUCUUGACGUUAGCAACAGAAGAAGCACCGGCUAACUCCGUGCCAGCAGCCGCGGUAAUACGGAGGGUGCGAGCGUUAAUCGGAAUUACUGGGCGUAAAGCGCAUGCAGGUGGUUCAUUAAGUCAGAUGUGAAAGCCCGGGGCUCAACCUCGGAACUGCAUUUGAAACUGGUGAACUAGAGUGCUGUAGAGGGGGGUAGAAUUUCAGGUGUAGCGGUGAAAUGCGUAGAGAUCUGAAGGAAUACCAGUGGCGAAGGCGGCCCCCUGGACA
rnacentral:rRNA from 1 species